rnacentral:rRNA from 1 species
UACGAAGGGGGCUAGCGUUGUUCGGAAUUACUGGGCGUAAAGGGCGCGUAGGCGGUGUGUCAAGUCAGGCGUGAAAGCCCUGGGCUCAACCCAGGAAGUGCACUUGAAACUUCGGUGGCUUGAGUUCUGGAGAGGAUGGCGGAAUUCUCGGUGUAGAGGUGAAAUUCGUAGAUAUCGAGAGGAACACCGGUGGCGAAGGCGGCUAUCUGGACAGUGACUGACGCUGAGACGCGAAAGCGUGGGGAGCAAACAGG